UACGUAGGUGACAAGCGUUGUCCGGAUUUACUGGGCGUAAAGAGCGCGCAGGCGGUCGAUCAAGUCGAGUGUGAAAGCCCCCGGCUCAACUGGGGAGGGUCAUUCGAUACUGAUCGACUCGAAGGCAGGAGAGGGUAGUGGAAUUCCCGGUGUAGUGGUGAAAUGCGUAGAUAUCGGGAGGAACACCAGUGGCGAAGGCGGCUCUCUGGACCUGUCCUGACGCUGAGGCGCGAAAGCUAGGGGAGCGAACAGG
rnacentral:rRNA from 1 species